GUCUACAGCCAUUCCACCCUGAACAAGCCUGAUCCUGUCUGAUCUUGGAAGCUAAGCAGGGUCGGGCCUGGUUAGUACUUGGAUGGGAGACCAACUAGGAAGGUGUAAAAAAUA
rnacentral:rRNA from 1 species